rnacentral:rRNA from 1 species
UACGGGGGGAGCAAGCGUUGUUCGGAUUUACUGGGCGUAAAGGGCGCGUAGGCGGCACCGCAAGUCGACUGUGAAAUCUCCGGGCUUAACCCGGAAAGGUCAGCCGAUACUGCGGGGCUAGAGUGCAGAAGGGGCAACUGGAAUUCUCGGUGUAGCGGUGAAAUGCGUAGAUAUCGAGAGGAACACCUGCGGCGAAGGCGGGUUGCUGGGCUGACACUGACGCUGAUGCGCGAAAGCGUGGGUAGCAAACGGG